rnacentral:lncRNA from 1 species
UCAGGUAAUGAGAGUGCUCUCAAGGCUGGGCCACGUCACCUGCCUACGCAGGAUGGAGCUGGAGUGUGCCUUUUCUGACCAUGGUAGUCUCCGUCGACUCCGAGUUGAGGGCCUGUCACACAGUCACUCACUCACUCUGUAGAUUGAAAUCUGGGCCUCAAUUCCUAUAGAACAGGCUACCCCUCCUCCCUGACAGCACAAUCUAAAAAGAGCAGCAAGGUAGUGGGUUUGCCCACUCCAGCCUGGGUGACAGAGGGAGACUCCGUCUCCAAAAAAAAAAAAAAAAAAGAAUGAUCUCAGAAAACUACACACAAACUUACAUCCUAUUAUCUAGUCACGCACAAAAGAAGGCCGAGGGCCUGGCAGAAUAAGCACUUGGCAACUGUCAGCCUGUUUUCAGGGCUCCUUCAGGUGAGAAAUCCAGGCACAUUCAUGUCUGCCUCACCCCUUCGCCAUGCCAGGCC